rnacentral:rRNA from 1 species
CGCUGGCGGCAGGCCUAACACAUGCAAGUCGAGCGGUAGAGAGAAGCUUGCUUCUCUUGAGAGCGGCGGACGGGUGAGUAAUGCCUAGGAAUCUGCCUGGUAGUGGGGGAUAACGUUCGGAAACGGACGCUAAUACCGCAUACGUCCUACGGGAGAAAGCAGGGGACCUUCGGGCCUUGCGCUAUCAGAUGAGCCUAGGUCGGAUUAGCUAGUUGGUGAGGUAAUGGCUCACCAAGGCGACGAUCCGUAACUGGUCUGAGAGGAUGAUCAGUCACACUGGAACUGAGACACGGUCCAGACUCCUACGGGAGGCAGCAGUGGGGAAUAUUGGACAAUGGGCGAAAGCCUGAUCCAGCCAUGCCGCGUGUGUGAAGAAGGUCUUCGGAUUGUAAAGCGCUUUAAGUUGGGAGGAAGGGUUGUAGAUUAAUACUCUGCAAUUUUGACGUUACCGACAGAAUAAGCACCGGCUAACUCUGUGCCAGCAGCCGCGGUAAUACAGAGGGUGCAAGCGUUAAUCGGAAUUACUGGGCGUAAAGCGCGCGUAGGUGGUUUGUUAAGUUGGAUGUGAAAUCCCCGGGCUCAACCUGGGAACUGCAUUCAAAACUGACUGACUAGAGUAUGGUAGAGGGUGGUGGAAUUUCCUGUGUAGCGGUGAAAUGCGUAGAUAUAGGAAGGAACACCAGUGGCGAAGGCGACCACCUGGACUAAUACUGACACUGAGGUGCGAAAGCGUGGGGAGCAA